AGAUCGAACUGUAGAGUUUGAUCCUGGCUCAGAUUGAACGCUGGCGGAAUGCUUUACACAUGCAAGUCGAGCGGCAGCGCGGGGCAACCUGGCGGCGAGCGGCGAACGGGUGAGUAAUACAUCGGAACGUGCCCAGACGUGGGGGAUAACUACUCGAAAGAGUAGCUAAUACCGCAUACGAUCUAAGGAUGAAAGCGGGGGAUCGCAAGACCUCGCGCGUUUGGAGCGGCCGAUGGCAGAUUAGGUAGUUGGUGGGGUAAAGGCUUACCAAGCCUGCGAUCUGUAGCUGGUCUGAGAGGACGACCAGCCACACUGGGACUGAGACACGGCCCAGACUCCUACGGGAGGCAGCAGUGGGGAAUUUUGGACAAUGGGCGAAAGCCUGAUCCAGCCAUUCCGCGUGCAGGAUGAAGGCCCUCGGGUUGUAAACUGCUUUUGUACAGAACGAAAAAGCUCUGGUUAAUACCUGGAGUCCAUGACGGUACUGUAAGAAUAAGCACCGGCUAACUACGUGCCAGCAGCCGCGGU
rnacentral:rRNA from 1 species